AGCAGCCGCGGUAAUUCCAGCUCCAAUAGCGUAUAUUAAAGUUGUUGCAGUUAAAAAGCUCGUAGUUGAAUUUCGGGGUUCUACCGUUGGUCGGGCAAUAGUCUGUACUGGCGUGUGGAAUUUCUACCUUCUGGGGAACCAUCAUGUUAUUUAUUUAGCGUGGUGGGAAACCAGGACCUUUACCUUGAAAAAAUUAGAGUGUUCAAAGCAGGCUUACGUCUGAAUACAUUAGCAUGGAAUAAUAAAAUAGGACGGUGGUCCUGUUUUGUUGGUUCUGAAUCACCGUAAUGAUUAAUAGGGAUAGUUGGGGCAUUAGUAUUCAAUUGUCAGAGGUGAAAUUCUUGGAUUUAUUGAAGACUAACUUCUGCGAAAGCAUUUGCCAAGGAUGUUUUCAUUAAAUCAAGUAACGAAAGUUAGGGGAUCGAAGACGAUCAGAUACCGUCGUAGUCUUAAACCAUAAACUAUGCCGACUAGGGAUCGGACGAUGUUAAAUUUUUCUUGACUCGUUCGGCGCCUUACG
rnacentral:rRNA from 1 species